rnacentral:rRNA from 1 species
AAAUUGAAGAGUUUGAUCAUGGCUCAGAUUGAACGCUGGCGGCAGGCCUAACACAUGCAAGUCGAACGGUAACAGGAAACAGCUUGCUGUUUCGCUGACGAGUGGCGGACGGGUGAGUAAUGUCUGGGAAACUGCCUGAUGGAGGGGGAUAACUACUGGAAACGGUAGCUAAUACCGCAUAAUGUCGCAAGACUAAAGAGGGGGACCUUCGGGCCUCUUGCCAUCGGAUGUGCCCAGAUGGGAUUAGCUAGUAGGUGGGGUAACGGCUCACCUAGGCGACGAUCCCUAGCUGGUCUGAGAGGAUGACCAGCCACACUGGAACUGAGACACGGUCCAGACUCCUACGGGAGGCAGCAGUGGGGAAUAUUGCACAAUGGGCGCAAGCCUGAUGCAGCCAUGCCGCGUGUAUGAAGAAGGCCUUCGGGUUGUAAAGUACUUUCAGCGGGGAGGAAGGGAGUAAAGUUAAUACCUUUACUCAUUGACGUUACCCGCAGAAGAAGCACCGGCUAACUCCGUGCC